CUUCUAACUUUUCAACAAGCAAUAAUGUUUAUAUUUCUAUUAAUAUAGUUUAAAAAAACAAUCCAUUUUCA
rnacentral:tRNA from 1 species